rnacentral:rRNA from 1 species
UACGGGGGGGCAAGCGUUGUUCGGAAUUACUGGGCGUAAAGGGCUCGUAGGCGGCCAACUAAGUCAGACGUGAAAUCCCUCGGCUUAACCGGGGAACUGCGUCUGAUACUGGAUGGCUUGAGAUUGGGAGAGGGAUGCGGAAUUCCAGGUGUAGCGGUGAAAUGCGUAGAUAUCUGGAGGAACACCGGUGGCGAAGGCGGCAUCCUGGACCGAUACUGACGCUGAGGAGCGAAAGCCAGGGGAGCAAACGGG